ACAUCGCCUCUUGAACUAAAUAAGAGGUCCAGCCUGCCCAGUGAAAUUAUUCAACGGCCGCGGUAUCCUAACCGUGCGAAGGUAGCGUAAUCACUUGUUCUUUAAAUGAGGACUAGUAUGAAUGGCACCACGAGGGUUCUACUGUCUCCUUUUUUAAAUCAGUGAAACUAAUCUUCCCGUGAAGAAGCGGGAAUUUUUUUAUAAGACGAGAAGACCCUAUGGAGCUUUAAACAAAUGACAUUUGCUUAAUCUAAUAUUUUAUUUUCAAGAAAUAUAGCAUUAUGAUCUUUAGUUUUCGAUUGGGGUGAUCACGGAGAAAAAUUUAACCUCCACGCCGAAAGGGUUUAUUCCCUAAGCAAAAAGCUACAGCUUUAAGCACUAAAAAAUUAACGUAGUUUGACCCA
rnacentral:rRNA from 1 species